CUAAGCCAUGCGAGUCAUUGUAGCAAUACAAGGCAUACGGCUCAGUAACGCGUAGUCAACCUAACCUAUGGACGGGAAUAACCUCGGGAAACUGAGAAUAAUGCCCGAUAGAACACUAUACCUGGAAUGGUUUGUGUUCCAAAUGAUUUAUCGCCGUAGGAUGGGACUGCGGCCUAUCAGUUUGUUGGUGAGGUAAUGGCCCACCAAGACUAUUACAGGUACGGGCUCUGAGAGGAGUAGCCCGGAGAUGGGUACUGAGACACGGACCCAGGCCCUAUGGGGCGCAGCAGGCGAGAAAACUUUGCAAUGUGCGAAAGCACGACAAGGUUAAUCCGAGUGAUUUGUGCUAAACGAAUCUUUUGUUAGUUCUAGAAAUACUAACGAAUAAGGGGUGGGCAAGUUCUGGUGUCAGCCGCCGCGGUAAAACCAGCACCUCAAGUGGUCAGGAUGAUUAUUGGGCCUAAAGCAUCCGUAGCCGGCUCUGUAAGUUUUCGGUUAAAUCUGUACGCUCAACGUACAGGCUGCCGGGAAUACUGCAGAGCUAGGGAGUGGGAGAGGUAGACGGUACUCGGUAGGAAGGGGUAAAAUCCUUUGAUCUAUUGAUGACCACCUGUGGCGAAGGCGGUCUACCAGAACACGUCCGACGGUGAGGGAUGAAAGCUGGGGGAGCAAACCGGAUUAGAUACCCGGGUAGUCCCAGCUGUAAACUAUGCAAACUCAGUGAUGCAUUGACUUGUGGUCAAUGCAGUGCUGCAGGGAAGCCGUUAAGUUUGCCGCCUGGGAAGUACGUACGCAAGUAUGAAACUUAAAGGAAUUGGCGGGGGAGCACCACAAGGGGUGAAGCCUGCGGUUCAAUUGGAUUCAACGCCGGAAAUCACU
rnacentral:rRNA from 1 species